rnacentral:rRNA from 1 species
AACGAACGCUGGCGGCAUGCCUAACACAUGCAAGUCGAACGAGACCUUCGGGUCUAGUUGCGCACGGGUGCGUAACGCGUGGGAACUUGCCCUUAGGUUCGGUAUAACUCAGAGAAAUUUGAGCUAAUACCGGUGAAGGUCUUCGGACCAAAGAUUUAUCGCUUUUGGAUGGGGCCGCGUAGGAUUAGCUGGUUGGUGGGGUAAUGGCAUAUCAAGGGGACGAUGCUUAGCUGGUCUGUGAGGAUGAUCAUCCACAAUGGGACUGAGACACGGACCAGACUGCUACGGAAGGCAGCAGUGGAGAAUAUUGGACGAUGGGCGAAAGUCUGAUAAAGCAAUGCGGCGUGAGUGAUGAAGGCCUUAGGGUUGUAAAGCUCUUUUACACGGGAUGAUAAUGACAGUACCUGGAGAAUAAGCACCGGCUAACUACGUG